rnacentral:rRNA from 1 species
CCUACGGGGGGCUGCAGUGGGGAAUAUUGCACAAUGGGGGAAACCCUGAUGCAGCGACGCCGCGUGAGUGAGGAAGUAUUUCGGUAUGUAAAGCUCUAUCAGCAGGGAAGAAGAUGACGGUACCUGACUAAGAAGCCCCGGCUAACUACGUGCCAGCAGCCGCGGUAAUACGUCGGGGGCAAGCGUUAUCCGGAUUUACUGGGUGUAAAGGGAGCGUAGACGGUUAAUCAAGUCUGAAGUGAAAACCCAGGGCUCAACCCUGGGACUGCUUUUGAAACUGAGUAGCUGGAGUGCAGGAGAGGUAAGCGGAAUUCCUAGUGUAGCGGUGAAAUGCGUAGAUAUUAGGAGGAACACCAGUGGCGAAGGCGGCUUACUGGACAGUAACUGACGUUGAGGCUCGAAAGCGUGGGGAGCAAACAGGAUUAGAUACCCGAGUAGUC